rnacentral:rRNA from 1 species
AAUAGCCUAACGGCUGAACCAGCAACUUGGAGGAAUGUAUAGCAAUAGCUAGUUGCAUUGUGAUACAGUGCAAGAUCAACUAUGUUGAAUAAAAUUCUGGGUAAGAUUUAAUAAUGACAUUUUUUAUCCAUAUGUCUUGACCAAAAUACGUGCCAGCAGUCGCGGUAACACGUUAGAGACUAGUGUUAUUCAUCUUUAAUAGGUUUAAAGGGUACCUAGACAGUAGAUCAAGCCUUAAUAACAAUUAAUUCCUUAAUGGAAUUAAUUUGGGACUAAUCUUCUAGAGUUACUUGUGAGGGGGCUAAAAAGUACUGUUGGUCUAGAGAUAAAAUUUUUUGAGACCAGUUUUCGAAAGAUUAAUAAUGGCACAGGUAAAGGCGAAAGCAUCUCCCCAUGGGAUAACUGACGUUGAGGGACGAAGGCUUUGAAUAGCGAAUAGGAUUAGAUACCCUAGUAGUCGAAGGAGAGAAUUAUGAGUGUCAUAAAUUAGAUUAAAGUUUAAUUUAUAAAUGAAAGUGUAAGCACUCCACCUCAUGAGUAAAGUGGCAACGCCGGAAUUGAAAUCAUUAGACCGUUUCUGAA